rnacentral:lncRNA from 1 species
GACAGAGGACAGCCAGAAGCCCAGCCAGCCCCAGACUCCAGUGCACCAGAGCACGCACAGGAGCCUGGGCGCGCUGCUGUGAAACGUCCUGACCUGUGAUCACACAUGACAGUGAGGAAACCAAGUGCAACUCCUGGGUUUUUUUAGAUUCUGCCUGACACGGAACACCAGGUCUGCUCGUCUUUUUUGUGUUUUAUAUUUGCUUAUUUAAGGUACAUUUCUUUGGGUUUCUAGAGACGCCCCUAAGUCACCUGCUUCAUUAGACGGUUUCCAGGUUUUCUCCCAGGUGACGCUGUUAGCGCCUCAGCUGGCGGUGACAGCCGGCCCAGCGUGGCGCCACCACACACCGCAGAGCUGUCCAGGCACAGCUCCGUCCCCAGCGCUCAUGGUGUUGAAACUGUCUGUCAUGCACCACGGUGUCUGUGUCCACACAGUAAUAAACGGUUUACUGUCCGCACCCUCGGGCUCAGGCCCUCGCAUUGGUCCAUCACGCUCCGGGCUGGGGAUGCCCCUUUUCAGAGAAGGGCCCGGGACCACGGUGACCAGGAGUCGUAGGA